CCUACGGGAGGCAGCAGUGAGGAAUUUUGGUCAAUGGACGAGAGUCUGAACCAGCCAAGUCGCGUGAAGGAUGACUGCCCUAUGGGUUGUAAACUUCUUUUAUAAAGGAAUAAAACCAGGCACGUGUGCCUUUUUGCAUGUACUUUAUGAAUAAGGAUCGGCUAACUCCGUGCCAGCAGCCGCGGUAAUACGGAGGAUCCGAGCGUUAUCCGGAUUUAUUGGGUUUAAAGGGAGCGUAGAUGGGUUGUUAAGUCAGUUGUGAAAGGUUGCGGCUCAACCGGAAAAGUGCAAUUGAUACUGGCAGUCUUGAGUACAGUAGAGGUAGGCGGAAUUCGUGGUGUAGCGGUGAAAUGCUUAGAUAUCACGAAGAACUCCGAUUGCGAAGGCAGCUUACUAAACUGCCACUGACAUUGAGGCUCGAAAGUGUGGGUAUCAAACAGGAUUAGAUACCCUUGUAGUC
rnacentral:rRNA from 1 species